UCCUGGCUCAGGAUGAACGCUAGCGGCAGGCUUAACACAUGCAAGUCGAGGGGCAGCGCGAGUAGCAAUACUUGGCGGCGACCGGCGCAAGGGUGCGUAACGCGUGAGCAACAUGCCCGUAUCAGGGGGAUAAUCCAGGGAAACUUGGUCUAAUACCCCAUAGUAAUUUUGUAAGGCACCUUAUAAGAUUUAAAGCUUUGGUGGAUACGGAUUGGCUCGCGUGACAUUAGCUGGAUGGUAAGGUAACGGCUUACCAUGGCUAUGAUGUCUAGGGGUUCUGAGAGGAAGGUCCCCCGCACUGGAACUGAGACACGGUCCAGACUCCUACGGGAGGCAGCAGUGAGGAAUAUUGGACAAUGGAUGGAAAUCUGAUCCAGCCAUGCCGCGUGAAAAGGAAGAAGGUCCUAUGGAUUGUAAACUUCUUUUGUAUGGGAGCAAUAAGGCCUACGAGUAGGUUGAUGAGAGUACCAUACGAAUAAGCACCGGCUAACUCCGUGCCAGCCGCUGC
rnacentral:rRNA from 1 species